CAAAUCCCCUUUUUACAACUUAGUCCCUCAACUAUGCACUAUUCACUACGGGCAGCUUGAAAUCUGAUAUCUUUCGCCGGAACUCCCUGAAUGUCCGUUUGAGCUCAAACUUGACAGUCAUAUUCGGUUUUACGUACUGAGCAAGAAUAUAUUUUAAGUUUUCAGUUUCGACCCCAUUUGGUCACCGAAAACUGUACCAAACUGUAAUCUUUAUCAGAUAGCUGUCGGAUUUUAUUUCUCACUCUACGGGUGUCAGAAAAAUAUAAAACUUUAAAUCUAGUCUCAUAAAAAUAUUUCUGACUUAUCCGCCAAUUUUCAUAAUUUUCUGACACUGUGCAUUUUCUGCUAAUUUAUCUGUCUCGUUUCCAACAGAAAAUUUUAGAUGUUCUGUUUUCAUUCCGAUUUCAGCACAAGUCACUUCUGACUUAUGUUUUUACUCCUCUACAUCCAAUAAAAAUAGUAUCUCACCCUAUUUUUAUUUACUUUUAUUUUAUACCAAAAUCUGGUAUGUUACACAAACACUAUCCGGGGUCC
rnacentral:lncRNA from 1 species